rnacentral:lncRNA from 1 species
GCGGUUAACAAUCUCUAUGCCUUCUACACCAUGUGGCCGGUCUUUAGGCAUUGUUUUAGGCUUUUACUCUGAAAAAAAUCUGAGAGAAACAGCAUAUUCAAUGAGUGGACAGUGGAAAUUUCCAGACAUGAAGCCAGCGCGUGACCGGGAGGGCACCUUUCUUGUUUCUCCUUUUCUAUUGACGAAGCUUUUGUCCGGUUGAAAUAUUAUCGAUUAUUUAUGACAAAAACAACCAGAGGAUUGAUUAUAAACAUCGUUUGACAUGUUUCUACGAACCUUUAUGGUACUUUUUUGAUUUUUCGUCUGUCUUUUGUGACAGCGCUUUGUUCCAAUGGAAUACUGAACAAAACACAACAACAAAAUGGAGGUUUUUGGACAUAAAGAGGGACGUUAUCGAACAAAAUGAACAUUUAUUGUGUAACAUGGAGUCUUCGGAGUGCAACCACAUGAAGAUCAUAAAAGGAAACUCAUUCAACAAUUUUAGAUGAAGUUGUGUGGAAAAUGGACUAUGAUGGUGAAAAAUACAUCUCCCAUGGACAAAGAAACUCAAAAGGCAAAGAUGGAAUCGUACUACACCGGCUCUGAUGCUCAUCGGAUGUGGCAGGGCUUGCAAACCAUUACGGACUACAAAGAGAAACACGGCCGAGUGCAUGAUGAAGUCUGGAUUCCUGCUCUUGAGGCCAAAGUCAGGUGACCUCAGACCUUGUAUAUUCCAGGAUGAGAUAGUAAAAGCUUUGUGUUCCAUAGUGUCUAGUGUUGUUUUUGUGUGGUUUAGGCCCAGACCAUCACUAUCUCUCUCUCUCCUCCUAGGACACAGCAGUUCUGUGCAGAUGUGUCUUUUCUUCUUCAUUUAAGCAUCAGGCCUGAGUUCACAAAGUGUGUAUAUGUGUGUGUGUGUGUGUGUGCGUGUGUGCGUGCGUGCGUGCGUGCGUGUAUUUUUUAUAUUUA